GAGGUUAAUAACCGAUAGGCGAUACCAUCUGGAAUGAUUUAUCGCUCAAAGUUCGCGUGAGGAUGGGGCUGCGGCGGAUUAGGUUGUUGGCGGGGUAAUGGCCCACCAAGCCGAUGAUCCGUAAGGGCCUUUAGCGAGGAAGCCCUGAGAGGGAGUCUGAGACACUACUCCCAGCCCUACGGGGUGCAGCAGUCGGGAAAAUUUUGCAAUACGCGAAAGCGUGACAGAGCAAGCCACAGUGCUGUUCUAUUAUUGAAUAGCUUUUGCGCGAUGUAGAAAGUCGUGCGAAUAAGGACUGGGCAAGACUGGUGCCAGCCGCCGCGGUAAUCCCAGCAGUCCAAGUCGCAGCCACAUUUGUUGGGUCUAAAACAUCCGUAGCUAGCCGUGUAAGUCUUUGGUGAAAUCGGGCCUCUUAAGGGUCCGGCGUGCCUUAGCUACUGCAUGGCUUGAGACCGGGAGGCGUAUCGAGUACGUACAGGGUACCGGUAAAAUGGGUUGAUCCUGUAUGGACUACCAGUCGCGAAGGCGCGAUACGAGAACGGUUCUGACAGUGAGGGAUGAAGGCUAGGGGCGCAAAGUGGAUUAGAUACCCAUGUAGUCCUAGCAGUAAACACUGCACACUA
rnacentral:rRNA from 1 species